ACUAAAUCUUCUGGUUUUUAAUUAACUUCUCCUCUAACAGCGGUUUUUCAUCAGCUCUCUCUCAUUAGAAAACAGUGUGAAAACUUUAGCUGCUAAGCUAACAAUCAGCGGUUAUUUCGGGCCA